rnacentral:rRNA from 1 species
AAUUGGAGGGCAAGUCUGGUGCCAGCAGCCGCGGUAAUUCCAGCUCCAAUAGCGUAUAUUAAAGUUGUUGCAGUUAAAAAGCUCGUAGUUGAAUUUCGGGGUCAGUAGAUUGGUCGUGCCACUGGUAUGUACUGGUCUUACUGGCUCCUCCUUCCUGAUGAACCGUAAUGCCAUUAAUUUGGUGUUGCGGGGAGACUGGACUGUUACUUUGAAAAAAUUAGAGUGUUUAAAGCAGGCUCACGCUUGAAUACAUUAGCAUGGAAUAAUGAAAUAGGACGUUCGAUCUUAUUUUGUUGGUUUCUAGGAUUGACGUAAUGAUUAAUAGGGAUAGUUGGGGGCAUUAGUAUUCAAUUGUCAGAGGUGAAAUUCUUGGAUUUAUUGAAGACUAACUACUGCGAAAGCAUUUGCCAAGGAUGUUUUCAUUAAUCAAGAACGAAAGUUAGGGGAUCGAAGACGAUCAGAUACCGUCGUAGUCUUAACCAUAAACUAUGCCGACUAGGGAUCGGAUGAUGUUAAUUUUUUAAUGACUCAUUCGGCGCCUUACGGGAAACCAAAGUGU